UGUCCAAAAGGUUUACUUUACUGAUGCAAC
rnacentral:piRNA from 1 species